UUAAAAGUACUUUUGUAGAUUAUAAAUAUUGAUAUAAAGUUUUAUGUUUUUUUCUGGAACAAUGAGAAUGAUAUAAGGAGUUUUAAGUAUGCCAGAAAACUGUUUGAAAGACAGAUUUGUUGUAUUGAAAGCAACUAAGGGAAAAACAGGACUGUUCUGAAAUUUGAAUUUCUGGUUAACUUGCCUUAGACUUAAUGAAAAACUAUGAGUUAAUUACCUGCUAAAAUACUUGAAAGACUCUCCUGGGCAAAAAAUGGAAAUUACCUAUUUAAUGAGGAUAACGAGAAAGGUGAAAAGGGUAGCCAUUGGUUUUUAUUCAUUUAAAGAUUUGUUUAAAAUGUUAGUAGAAGAACCAUCUGAUUAAAUGGAUUCUCAAAAGUUGAACUUUUGUACCCAGAAUUUGACCAUCACAGGACAUAUGAAGAAUAAUAAACACUCUUCAAAGUGCUUAAAAUCCCAGGAGUGAUUCCAGAAAAGUUGCUGUGAACCAUUCAGGAUUCUCUGAUUCAGCCAUGCUGGAAUUAUCCUUCAGUUCACCAUAAAAGAUGUGAAUGAGAAGGAUGAGGAGAGCAUUGGGACUCACCUGAAACACAGUGUUCACUGCAUCUUCACCUGGAGUAUAUUCCAUCUCAAGAAACCAUUUUCUUUGCUCAUCCAUAAGAAGUAACUCCUCAUCCAUUCAAGUUUUAUCAUGAGAUAGCAGCAAUUCAGUCACAUCUUCAGGAUCUACUUCUAAUUCUAGUUCUCCUGCUAUUUCUACCACAUCUGCAGUAACUUUCUCCACUGAAGUCUUGAACUCCUCAAGGUCAUCAGUGAGGGUUGGAAACAACUUCUUCCAAACUCCUGGUAAUGAUAUUUUGACCUGCUUCCAUGAAUCACAGAUGUUCUUAAUGGCAUCUAGAAUGCUGAAUCCUUUCCAGAAGGUUUUCAGUUGACUUUGCAUAAAUCCAUCAAAGGAAUCACUAUCAUCAUGGCAUCUAUACCUUUACAAAAUAUAUUUCUUAGAUAAUAAGACUUGAAAGUAAAAAUUACUCCUUGAUCCAUGGGCUGCAGAUUGGAUAUUGUGUUAACAGGCAUGAAAACAACAUUAAUCUCAUUGUACAUCUCCAUCAGCGCUCUUGGUUGACCAGGUACAUUGUUAAUGAGCAGUAAUGUUUUGAAAGGAAUACUUUUUUCUGAGCAGAAGCUCUCAACAGUGGGCUUAAAAUUGUCGGUAAACCAUAUUGUAAACAGAUAUGCUAUCAUCCACGCUUUGUUGUUCCAUUUAUAGAGCACAAUCAGAGUAGAUUUAGC